rnacentral:rRNA from 1 species
CAGCCGCCGCGGGAAUACGAAGGGGGCUAGCGUUGUUCGGAAUUACUGGGCGUAAAGCGCGUGUAGGCGGGUCCUUAAGUCAGGGGUGAAAUGCCAAGGCUCAACCUUGGAACUGCCUUUGAUACUGGGGAUCUUGAGUCCGGGAGAGGUGAGUGGAACUGCGAGUGUAGAGGUGGAAUUCGUAGAUAUUCGCAAGAACACCAGUGGCGAAGGCGGCUCACUGGCCCGGAACUGACGCUGAGACGCGAAAGCGUGGGGAGCAAACAGGAUUAGAUACCCCCGUAGUCCCUGUCUCUUAUAA